GUCAGCGUAGUGCUAUGGUUUGAGUUUUGGACUACAGCUCUGGAGAUCAGGGUUCGAUUCCCUGCUUGGCCA